CACGUAGGGCGCGAGCGUUGUCCGGAAUUAUUGGGCGUAAAGAGCUCGUAGGCGGCCUGUUGCGUCCGCUGUGAAAGCCCGGGGCUUAACCCCGGGCCUGCAGUGGGUACGGGCAGACUAGAGUGCGGUAGGGGAGACUGGAAUUCCUGGUGUAGCGGUGAAAUGCGCAGAUAUCAGGAGGAACACCGGUGGCGAAGGCGGGUCUCUGGGCCGAUAUUGACGCUGAGGAGCGAAAGCGUGGGGAGCGAACAGG
rnacentral:rRNA from 1 species